AAGUCGUAACAAGGUAUCUGUAGGUGAACCUGCAGAUGGAUCAUUAAAGUAUUUUGUGGCAACACAACAAUACCCUGUAAACAACGAGUGAGGAGGAAAGGGAUGAUGAAACGAAUGGGAUGAAUGGGACGAAAGUUCCUUUUAUACUCUUUAAUUCUGAAUCUCGGUUCUCUUUAUUAAACUCUGGACUGAAUAUUAUUACAACUAGACACUUAACAAACAAACCAAUACCAUAUAACCUUUAACAAUGGAUCUCUUGGUUCCU
rnacentral:misc_RNA from 1 species